rnacentral:lncRNA from 1 species
UUUUUAUUUUUUUCCAUUAUAGCUGGUUUACAGCAUUCUGUCAGUUUUCUACUGUACAGCAUGGUGAACCAGUUACACAUACAUGCACACAUUCUCUUUUCUCACACUAUCCAGCUCCAUCACAAGUGACCAGACACAGUUCCCAGUGCCACAAAGCAGGAUCUCAUUGCAAAUCCAUUCCAAAGGCAAUAGUCUGCAUCUAUUAACCCCAAGUUCCCAAUCCAUCCCACUCCCUCCCCCUUGGAAACCACAAGUCUAUUCUCCAAGUCCAUGAUUUCCCUUUUUUUUAUUUUUCUUUUUAUGGCCACACCUGCAGCAUAUGGAAGUUCCCGGGCUAGGUAUCAAAUCAGGGCUGCAGCUGCAGUUUGACUCCUAGCCUGGGAACUUCCAUAUAUUACAGGUGUGGCCCUGAAGAGAAAAAAAAAAAUUUUUUUUUGUCCCACCCCAGGCAUCAGCCAUGUGAAAGUUCCUGGGCCAGGGAUGGAACCUGAGUCACAGCAGUGAUCCGGGCUGCUGGACUGACAAGACCAGAUCCUUAACCCACUGCGCCACAUGAGAAUUCUGAUGCUUUUAUGUGUAUGAUCUAUCUCCCAUUUUUUGUUUAAAAAAAAUAGGCAAGUUUGCCCAGUGGGUUGAAGAUCCGGUGUUGCCACCAUAGUGUAGGUCGCAGAUGCAGCUGGAUCCCGAGUUACUGUGGCUGUGGUGAAGGCUGGCAGCUGUGGCUCCUAUCGGACCCCUAACCUGGGAACCUCCAUAUGCCAUGAGUGUGGCCCUAAAAAAAGACAAAAGUCUAAAUAAAUAAAUAAAUGAUAAAAAAAAAAAUAGGCAAGCUUUGCUUUAAACCAUCAGCGAUGAUAAAAGUCUGGGCCUUGAAGAACAGAAGUCCAGAUGGCCUCACGCAGACUAAUAAAAAAAGGCACAAGUAAACAUAUUAGGCGUCCUCCAUGUCCUCCAGAUAAAAUAAUAAGGCCAUGCCCAUGACUUUGCAGUAAAUGCAAUAUCUCUGCCAAGUACUGCAAUCCAUAGUUCACUGACCCUUGACAGAGGCAUGAUUACCGUGCUCCAUUCAUCGGUGGCAUAAACUGGCUCUGAAAUCAGGCAUAUUCAAAUGGACAAACCAGAGAAAUGGAGGCCUUUAGGAUCUCCACCCUCCCCCCCACUGCAAAAAAAAGUCUAAUAAAGACAUAAAGGUUUUUUUCUCUAGCCCAUUCUGCAUCUCAUUAACCUGCUGACACUAUUUGUAAUGGCAAAGAAAGGUCACUGAAGCUAAAUCUGCUUGGCAAGAUUCCCCACCACGGUGUUCUCAAAAGCACAAGCCUGAUUAAAUAUCAGCUCCCAUCUUAUUUCCAAGAAGGCCGCUCAAAGGUUAUGGUGGGCUCAGGUGUGCCGAGCUAUGCCGUUAUGAUGUCCCUCAUUUGCAUAGCAUCUGCCCUCUGAAUCACUCAGCACGUCCCCUUUAGGGCCUCACAUUAAUCCUCUAUCUACCCUGGAACACGGGGACAGGGGAAGCCAGUGUUUGUUGCUUUUUGAAAAUGGGGAAACCAGACUGAGACCUGGAGAUAAAGCACAUUUUAUUGCACUUGCUUGAUUGCUCUUUGCAGAUACUACAAUUUUUACAAAUUGUGUAAAGUUGUGGCAACCCUGUAUUGAGCAACUCUAUCAGCGCUGUCUGCUCGCUUCAUGUCUCUGUGUCACAUUUUGGUCAUUCCCACAAUAUUUCAAAUUUUUUCUUAUGGUUACAGCUAUUAUGGUGAACUUUGAUCAGAGAUCUUUGAUGUUGUGUAACAGUAACUUGCUAAAGGCUCAGAUGAUGCCUUGGCAUUCUUUAGCAAUAAAGUAGUUUUUAAUUAGGGUUCAUACUUUUUUAGACAUCAUGCUAUUGCACAUUUAAGAGACUACAGUGUAAACUUUUACAUGAACUGGGAAACCAAAAACUCAUGUGAUGUGCUUCAUUGCAGCAUCACCUUAUCUUGGUGGUCUGGAACCUUAGUAUCUCUAAAAUAUGCCUCUAAUGAUUCCAAGGAGGGUAAACUCCUAUAAACUCAGGCUUUGGGACAGGUUGACAUGGAGCAGAAGAAUGAUGAGCGACCCUAUCAACACAAUGGGACCCUUCCAGGCACCUGAGGGGCUCAGUCCCUGGGGAUGGCAUUAGGCAUGUGGGAAAGCUGCCCCAGCACUGCACGUUCCCUCCCAAGUGAUGUGUUAGUUCAGUACGAAGGUUUACCAUAGCCACUGAAACAUCUCACUUCCCAUCAAGUUCUAAUUCACUGGGAAGUUCUAGUUUGCUAAAAGUUCAAAUGGUUAAAAAAAAAAAAAUUAAGAGGAAAAUACAGACUAAUUUUGUUUCUUUUGCAUUUUGAGGUGCAAAGAAUAGGCCCACUGUAAUCUCUCUGACCUCUAAUUUUAAGAUUUCUUAAAAUUUCCACAUCAGUUCCUGCUAUGUCAGUCUUCCAUGCUUCCCAAAUCUGAACCACAGAAUCCGCUGUACCCAGUGCUUGUUUUGUGGGAGGCCCGUCAAUGUCAUAUGUCAAAGGCACUGUCAAACUCUGGGCUAGCCUUGUCUAGUGGGGCUAGGGUGAAAGGAGGUAGGGAGGGGGCACAGAAUUUAAAAUGAGCCUUAAGCAGCAUCUGUGGAUGGACAAUCUUCCCUCAUAAGAAGCUUGGGAGAGGGCCUUGGGCAGAAAAUACAGAAAUUUCUAGUUCAACACACUUUUUAAAGAAUAAAAUGUACUGCUCAAUGUCAAAAGCCUCUGCACAUACUAAAAUUACAUAAAUGCGAUAGCAUAAGCUUUUAGAAAAAGCUCUGUCAUCUCCAAACUAAGUCCAGAAAACAGGAUGUAGCAGUUUAAACUAGUUCCAAAUAAACAAAAUGAAAAAAUCCUUUGGGAAGUGGUGCAGAUGAUACAGUUUUCUCUGCCUAAGCACUUUGUUAGGAAAAGUUUUUUUUUUUCCAAUUACUGUUUCCAUCUUCUCAGUUACUUAACAAGAAGUGUUUUUAUGGUUAUAAGCUAAAAUGCAAAAGUGGAUCACCUGGCAUGGAUGGGGAAGUACUACGGUCACAACUCAUGUCCUGAUCCCAUCAGAACAGAGAAGAGAGCCAAGAGGGACCAGGUGAUGUACACGAAGUCAUAAACAUUUGUUGGAGAGGUUAUUUCCUGUAAAAGGCCUUUGGCCAGAGCAAUAAAAUUCUGGGCUGACCCAACAAGGCUACUCACAGGCAGAAACAGGCAGAUGAAAAAAACAGGGGCCAGUGCUCAAAGCAAAAGAAUGGCCUUUAGCUUCUUUCCCAAGAUGUGGGUGCAGCACGCCCUUUGACCUGCAGUAGGAACUCUCUGCUUCCCCACGUCCUGCAGUCACUUGCCUUGUCAGCCUCAUGGUUCCAUCCAGGAGGAAGCCACUUUUCUGAUCACCAAGCCUUUGUUAUCAGCCUCCUCUGCCUUCGGGUAUCAGCAAGAUCCAUCUCCCCACCACCCAUAACAUUCAAACCAUAGCGGACAUACCAACAGAAUGGUACCUCUGGCUGCUUAUUAAUAUAAAAUGCUAAUGUGGAAACCACAUGAAAAAAAGAGAGCCCAAAUGCUUAAUGCCAAAGGAGGAUUAAUUCAUGAAUUCCUGCCUGUCUUCUCAUUGACUUUCUUAAGAGUCAUCACCAUGAACUACAACCAUGUCACUCCCUGACUCAGACCGUCCCCUCCUGGGCAUCUCUCCAACACAGGAGCCUCUUUCCUUACAACUGUGUCUCUUCCUGAAUCAGAGAGGAAUAGCAAGGGGAAGAAAGUUAAUACCAGUUCUCCUUCCCCAAUUAUCUUCCUGUCCUAAAUUAGUGAUGGAAAUAUGUAGCCAGCAUGCCCCCUUCCUUAUUUCUGUGCCAAGGCAGACAACACUGGUCCAUCACAGAGCUCAUUAGCAUCCCCCCUCUCCCCCUCCCGCAUCUCUCUCAGAUUGAAUAUAGCUCCACAGAACUUCUCAUCACAGUGCUGCAGGCUAUGGAAAACUGAACAGAAAUAUCCCACAAGAUGAAACCUGUUUGUCAUCUCCCUUUUAACUCCAUCAGCUACAGUUUGGCCACAUCCAGAGAACCCCAGCUAUCCACAGGCUCUUUUCAGAUGAUAUUUUUCUAAAUUUUUUUUUCUUAAAAAAAGAGGAUAUAAAGAAAACUAUGCAUACCAUUCAGGAUUCCAUCGUUAAAAAUCAUACUCAGAGCACCUCAGCAUACUCAGAACCACCUGUGACCUUGGGAUUAACAACUCUCUGAUUGGCUAGAUUUGUGUUAUUAGCAGACUUUAUAGGGGAAAGCACUUCAGAAAGGGGGAGGGAGAGCAGAACAAAGGCCUAUGAAUGGAGGAGCAUGCCAGGACGACAGGGAACAGUUGUUGGUAGCAAAUUGUGGGGUGUGAGGACAUUCAAAUCAGGUUGAGAGGCAAGUGGGGACCAUAUUGGGAAAGGCUAUAAGGGCCAGACUGAACAAAGGCAAAUCUGGGUUAAUUGUCUGAUAAAGUGGUGUGCUGAGAUCAAUUUCAGGAUGGCAUUAUCUAAGGUACUGGGGGGAAAGGGGAUUCACUGUAGGAUGACCUACUACUCCCACUUUCCCUAGAGGACUUUCCUGGGUCUGAAGACUUUUAGUGCUUAAACUGGGACAACCAGACAUUUUCUCAUCCUUGUAGAGGAAAGGAGAUUUGUCUAGAAGCUAUUCCUAUAGUCUAGACAACAAGGUGACAAGACUCCUAAGCUAAGGAGUCUUUAUUCUGUUCUGAUAGACAACUUCCUGCCACGGUUUCCGUGGAAAGGAAUGGCUUGCUCUUCUUUGCUUAUGCCUUGUGCCAGGUGCAUUCUAACCACAACCUUUUAGCAGCAAAACCUUAUCCUGAAGAACUACACUGAUUCAGUGAUAGGAAUGUAGGCAUAUGGCUGGCCACUGGAGAAGCUAACAGAUCGGGAGCUGUGGGGAAGGGGGAGCCAUACUGGCUGAUGCUAAUAAUAAUAAAGGCCCCCACGAAGAAGCACUUUCCAUGGCCCAGAACUUAGUAAUUGUAAGAACCCAUUCAAUACUCAUAUUAUUUCACCCCAUUUUUCAAGUGAGGUAGCUGGAGAGGUUGAGUGACUUGCCCAGUGCCACACAGCUAUUAAAUGUGAGAGCCAGAAUUUAAGGUGAGCAUCAUCCCACCCCAACCUCUACUCCUGUAGCACACCUUACCUCCCCAACUCCAGUCACCCCCUCAUCUGUUCUUGGGGGGGGGGUCCUGGCCAUCAGCACUGAUGCCCAUUUUCCAAGAACUGCAGGAGCUGCUUUAGACAAGACAUGUCAAUGGCCAGAAAAGAGCCAGUAGCCUAGAGUGAAUUCAGAGGAGAGCCACAUGAAUGAUUAAGAGUGGAGAAGGAUUGAUCUGUCAGGAAAGAUUAGAAGAAUUCAAUGUGUGUUGUUUGGCUAAGCUGAGAUGAAGGGAGGAGGAGACUGGGGGCAGGGAGGAGCAACAAAGCAAAGUCAUGACAGAAUGGGUGGCCUUUCUGCUCUAGACAGCACAAGGAAGCAUGGCUGAGAUGAAGACAAGAAAAUCAGUACAUAGGGAAGUUUUCUAGAAGGCUCUCCCAAGGAACAAAUGUUGCCCCAGAAUUCAGAGCAGGACCUAGCUGGACACCCACCCUGUGUGAUGCAAAUCCAGAAGGAUCUACGUGACAAGGUUAGUGAAUGUAUAAAAACUCUGUUUUCUCUCUUCCCAAGUGGAAUGCAUUUCCUAAGCAAAGCACGAAGUUCAAGGUCCUUCCAUGUCUCUCCAGCCUUCCCCAAGUCUGUCACUGCUGAAACUAAACUGUUUAAUUCUAUCCGGAGUCAAGUCUCAAUAACACAAGAGAGAAAAGGCUUAGAGACAUGUAGGAUUAACACAAGUACCACUUUGCCAGGCUUUGCAUCAAGCACUAUAUAAAUAUUCAAUCCUUUACUCUCUUGUCCAAGAUCAUCGAAGUAGUUUUUUAUUAUUAUUAUUCCAGGCCCUAAUCUCUCCUUAUUUG